rnacentral:rRNA from 1 species
AUUGAACGCUGGCGGCAGGCCUAACACAUGCAAGUCGAGCGGAUGAAGGGAGCUUGCUCCUGGAUUCAGCGGCGGACGGGUGAGUAAUGCCUAGGAAUCUGCCUGGUAGUGGGGGAUAACGUCCUGAUACGGGCGCUAAUACCGCAUACGUCCUGAGGGAGAAAGUGGGGGAUCUUCGGACCUCACGCUAUCAGAUGAGCCUAGGUCGGAUUAGCUAGUUGGUGGGGUAAAGGCCUACAAAGGCGACGAUCCGUAACUGGUCUGAGAGGAUGAUCAGUCACACUGGAACUGAGACACGGUCCAGACUCCUACGGGAGGCAGCAGUGGGGAAUAUUGGACAAUGGGCGAAAGCCUGAUCCAGCCAUGCCGCGUGUGUGAAGAAGGUCUUCGGAUUGUAAAGCACUUUAAGUUGGGAGGAAGGGCAGUAAGUUAAUACCUUGCUGUUUUGACGUUACCAACAGAAUAAGCACCGGCUAACUUCGUG